UACGAAGGGGGCUAGCGUUGUUCGGAAUCACUGGGCGUAAAGCGCACGUAGGCGGAUUGCUAAGUCAGGGGUGAAAUCCUGGAGCUCAACUCCAGAACUGCCUUUGAUACUGGCGGUCUCGAGUCCGGGAGAGGUGAGUGGAACUGCGAGUGUAGAGGUGAAAUUCGUAGAUAUUCGCAAGAACACCAGUGGCGAAGGCGGCUCACUGGCCCGGUACUGACGCUGAGGUGCGAAAGCAUGGGGAGCGAACGGG
rnacentral:rRNA from 1 species